CUCACCAGUACCUAUAGGGAGAAACACCAAG
rnacentral:piRNA from 1 species